AAAAAAUGUGACCACUAAUUAGAAUUUCCUGCAUGCAGGAUUUGUACGAAUUAAAGUAAGAUUUUUAAUUUUAUAAAAUAAAUGGAAGCUCAUCCCCAAACCAACACAUAGUGUCUCGGCCAGGAUUUCAACCCACGUCAUGAAAAUAAAACCGAAUGCCGUUACCACCACGCCACACAAUAACUCUUUGAAAUGUUGACAAAAACAAUAUUAACACCAAAUUGAGCAACUGCUUUUAUCGCUUGAUUAGUUGACAUCAUGGCGGGAUGUUCGAGGAACUUUAAAAAUGAAUCCUGUUAGCUAUUGCAUUCGGAGCGUAUCUUGUAAAUCUCAAGAGAUCGAUUGCAACUCUCCAAUAAUGUUGAAAAUAUAAUUGGUUCACUUCACCCCGAUCCCAUUCUCCAACAAUACUUCCGCGUGUGUUUUAUUCCGUGCAUGUGUACAGUGAAGAAAAUGAAAUAUCCCAACAACAAAACAUGGAGAUAAAAAUCUGGAAAAAAGUUACUCUACGGUUUUGAUAAUUAUUUCAUGACAAUUAAUAGUUUCAUGCCAUAUGCUCUAUCUUUAAGGACAGAAACCUUCAAAAGUAGAUUCUAUGUUAAAUAUACAGUAUUUUAUUGCCACCAAGUGCAAAAAAAUACCGUACUUAGAUGAAAGGUUUGGUUUGGAGUAAGAUACAAUUUUAAAGUAGGAUUUAUUGAUCUUCUGUGACUUCUGUACAGUAUUGUAUUCAGCGUGAUUGACCGUGUUUUGUAUUAACUGUGGUCAGAUAUACAAACACGAGCCGAAGGCAAGUGAUUAUAAAUCUCCGGUACAACACAGAAAUGCGAAAUAAAAGGAUCGCGGUUUUAUAUAAAAAAAACAUUGAAUGUUCUUCAUGUGUUUGUUGGUGAGUUUUAUAACGAGUGAAUGCAUUUUUCCAGAGCACAGGACAAUUGGGCUCUUUAGAGAUAGAGAUAUACAGACUUUAUACUACGCGAAAUAAUGUGGUUGCUUGGCUGCCAACAUAUCCCGCUCCUUUUGGUGCUAAAAAAUUAUGUUCUCCAAUCAUUUUGCCUUUCAACUUUCUUCGUUGGAAAAUCCUUGUUGAAUCUUAGACAAUCUUGCAAGACAGGCUCUCUACCUCGUUUGCGAGGGGGAGUGGAAAGAAAGGGCCUUGAUUGUGAGAUUGUAUCUUACCUGGAGGCUUUUUCUAUUUUUAGAGACUUUCGUCCCGCACCUGUACUUAAUCUGAUUUUAAUCUGAUUUUGGUUUCGUAAUUACAGGAACCCACGGAGGGGAUGGGGCAGGUACCAAAACAACGUCCUGGUCGAAAGAAGACAGAAAAAGCAUCGCAUAAUUCGUCGAGCAAUUCACAAAAAUUUUCAAUUCAGACAUCACCAAUGGAUAGUCAGGAUAGCGUGUUUUUAUAACAUAAAUUGCAAUGAAAGCAAUAAUUUACUAUAUAGUUUGUAGGUAUUUUAAGCACAAGGGGUUUGCCUAGGUAUUGGCCGUAAACUUGAACACAUGUAUGAAUGUACGCGUAUAUUUCAAUAUUGAUGUCUACUCAUUAUGCACUAAUACAAACUCAACAUUAAACAGAGCUUUCGCUCGUAAGAUGUUGGUAAGGUUGGGCCCACAGUGCAUGGUUUAUACGAAUGAUUAAAACUGUCAUGAAUACGUUUGUGAGGUACGUAACCAUUUUUACAAAUAACUGAGUGAAAGCACACAGCUUAUCCUAAACGCGCAAAGUGAGCACUGUCACAAGUUAAAAGAAUACUGUCAAGGGUUGCAAUUUGCACUGAAUGAUAUAAAUGUCGCCACUGCACUUUUAAUUGAAAUACUAUCAAUGAUAGUGGCAAUAAUUAAUUGUAUUAAUUAACAUUUCGAUCGUAGAUAUAUUCUUGUUGAAUAUAGGUACAAUUCCUCCUGUGUAGAGCAGUUACAGUAAAUAAGGUGAAUAUAUUUUCAAUAAAAAUUAAUUAUCUGGGAUAUAUCGUCAUCAGUUAAUUAUUUGGGUUCCGGGUACAAUUUAAUUGAAUUUAUUUAAAACUAAUAAGGUACUGUAUGAAUAUCGUAACCAAAUGUUGUCAAGUAGUUAUACAUGCAAACCAAAGCAAAAUGCGUAGCUUUCAGGAUAGGAGGAAGUAGCCUCCAUUCUUUUUUCGAGAAGUUCGGCAUGUGAUCUUUGCUUUUUCAAAAUCUUCAGACUACAAUCUUUGACAGUAUACAUUGGGACAAUCUUUAGUUUCCAUACGACAAUCUACCAUUUCUUGAUACAUUUUUACCACCCUCCCUUCCCCCACCCGUUUCAAUCUUAGCG